ACCUUGUAAUCAGCGUUUGACAGACGUUAUGAACAGCCACCUAAGAGCGCGUAUUGGAAUUCCUCAGCGUAUUGUCUGUGUUCCGAUGCGCCACGAUAAGAGGCUGUCUAAUUAUACCGUCGACAAAUGCGCCGCAGCUGAUAAUCAUCUCGGUUUCCAGCUGGCCGACUUCGCCGAUGAUCAGAACACUGCUACGUCGUUGGGUUUUGAGCUCCUCGACGCAAUGAUGGCGGCGCGCUCACCGCCGUCACCGACCCGCAGGCCACGCCCACCACUGUCGGUGCCGACGAAAAAAUCGCCGCUGAGUGGCUGGCCGUAUUGAUUUUGAGCCGCCCUUGGCGUGCAGAUUAUGCGGCGCGGGAGGAGCGCAGUAAAAACACGCAUCGACACCGACGGGGUGCGUCGACGAUCAAUGGCCGACGAUCGACCGUGACGUCACUGCGCCGAAGGAAUCGUCGGCAGCUCCGGAUGAGGCUCUUGUCGCAUGCUGAGGCGUCACCUCAUCUCUUUCCAGG